rnacentral:rRNA from 1 species
UACGAAGGGGGCUAGCGUUGUUCGGAAUUACUGGGCGUAAAGCGCACGUAGGCGGACAUUUAAGUCAGGGGUGAAAUCCCAGAGCUCAACUCUGGAACUGCCUUUGAUACUGGGUGUCUUGAGUAUGGAAGAGGUGAGUGGAAUUCCGAGUGUAGAGGUGAAAUUCGUAGAUAUUGGGAAGAACACCGGUGGCGAAGGCGGCUCUCUGGACCGAUACUGACGCUGAGGCGCGAAAGCGUGGGGAGCAAACAGG